rnacentral:lncRNA from 1 species
GGCAGGGAGAGGCUUAGCCCUGGCCAGCCCAGGAUCAGGCCCAGUGCAGUCUGCCUGCAUGUUGGGGGGGUGCCCUGAAGUCCACCUUCCAGGGUCAUCUCUCAGCCAUCUCGAUGUUUUCAGGAAGAUGCCAGCUCCAUUAGUGCUGACUUGGGUUCCUGUCCUCAGCCACCAGGCAGGUGCUGAGUGAACACUGGGAUAUGGCUUCCAGAAAGGGAGAUGGCUAAGGUGGGUCAUGUAUACGGAUUAAACACGGCUUUGGGCCAGUACUUUUAUAGGCCAUGUAGUCAGGGGCACACGACACAGCCCUUGCCCUGAAGAUGCAGGUGUUGAGAGGGGAGGCAGAGGCUUCUCUCUAGGGGUGAGAUGCUCCCACAGGGAGUGGGCUUUAGAAGGGUGGUCCCAGAAGGCUUAGAGAGGUGACAGUUCAGCUGAUGGAAGCUUUCAAUUUCAAGAAAAGAAGCAGAGGGCAUUUCCAAGGUGCAACAUGUGCAAAGGCCCUGGGGCAGCAGAGAGCACAGGCCUUCAAGAACAGAGAGAGCCAUGGUGACUUAAAUUUCAAGAGCCAAGCUGGGCACCAUGGCCAUGGCUGUAAUCACAGUGACUUGGGAGGCUGAGGCAGGAAGAUCACAAGUUCAAGGUCACCCUGAGCAACUUGCUUAGACCUUGUCUCAAAAAAUAGAAAGACCUGGGGAGGUAGCUCAGUGAUAGAGCAUCCCUGAGUCAAUCCUCAGUACUGCAAAAAGAAAAAAAACAAAAAGCCCCAAAUACCUCAAGGGGCAACUACUUGAGCCACCUCUCCAUCCCUCAUGGGCCAUACUUGGUUGCCUUGGUAGGACCCCCACCCUCUUCCUCUUAGCUCUUCCUGUGUCCAGCCUCCUCUGUGGUGCUGACCUGUCCACAUGACCUCAUCCUGGUCUGGAGGUCUGUGUGGUUUCAGAGGGAGGCUCUGACUGAACUUGAACUAGAU